CCUACGGGAGGCAGCAGUGGGGAAUAUUGGACAAUGGGGGGAACCCUGAUCCAGCCAUGCCGCGUGUGUGAAGAAGGCCCUCGGGUUGUAAAGCACUUUCAGUGAGGAAGAACGCCUGGUGGUUAAUACCCAUCAGGAAAGACAUCACUCACAGAAGAAGCACCGGCUAACUCCGUGCCAGCAGCCGCGGUAAUACGGAGGGUGCGAGCGUUAAUCGGAAUUACUGGGCGUAAAGCGCGCGUAGGUGGCUUGAUAAGCCGGUUGUGAAAGCCCCGGGCUCAACCUGGGAACGGCAUCCGGAACUGUCAAGCUAGAGUGCAGGAGAGGAAGGUAGAAUUCCCGGUGUAGCGGUGAAAUGCGUAGAGAUCGGGAGGAAUACCAGUGGCGAAGGCGGCCUUCUGGACUGACACUGACACUGAGGUGUGAAAGCGUGGGUAGCAAACAGGAUUAGAUACCCUGGUAGUC
rnacentral:rRNA from 1 species